rnacentral:misc_RNA from 1 species
CGAAAUGCGAUAAGUAAUGUGAAUUGCAGAAUUCAGUGAAUCAUCGAAUCUUUGAACGCACCUUGCGCUCCUUGGUAUUCCUUGGAGCAUGCCUGUUUGAGUAUCAUGAAAUCUUCAAAGUAAAUCUUUUGUUAACUCAAUUGGUUUCUACUUUGGUAUUGGAGGUCUUUGCAGCUUCACACCUGCUCCUCUUUGUUCAUUAGCUGGAUCUCAGUGUUAUGCUUGGUUCCACUCGGCGUGAUAAGUUAUCUAUCGCUGAGGACACUGUAAAAGGUGGCCAAGGUAAAUGCAGAUGAACCGCUUCUAAUAGUCCAUUGACUUGGACAAUACUUUUAUGAUCUGAUCUCAGAUCAGGUAGGACUACCCGCUGAACUUAAGC